rnacentral:lncRNA from 1 species
AUACCUGCUAGGGUGCUCAUAUCUACUAGGGUACGUCAUAGACGCCAUUUUGUCUGUCGCGGUUUGACGUAUCGACUCCUCAUUCGUUAACCUCUGCUCGCGGAGUUCAAGGGCAUAGCUGUUGAAUAUAUGCCUAAAUGUAAAAUGCCUAAUAUAAAAAGGACCUGAUCGCGUUAAUGCUGACGGUCAACUAUAUUGGUAAACCGUAGUAAUAAUACCCGAAGCACCGUUGUGGUCAAGUAAGGUCCACGUUUGUGUAGCGGCAAAUAACAGUCACACUGUGAUUGAAGUUUUUUUUUUAUCGUUUUGUUUGCCAUGGAUUGGUUAGUUAGUUUAGCUAACGGAAGCUACCCAAGCUUACGCUAGCCACCUCCACCCACACACACACACACACACAUUUGACGAUCGUAUCCAAGCUGUUAUUGAAUAAACUUCAACUUCAACGACUACUUAACACGUACGACCUCCUGUAAAGGUUUACCUACAGAGAGGCACACCUAGGAACCAAAGCAACCAAAGCAACAUCCAUGGACCCACACCUGGCAUACUAAGCACCUGAAGAGCCAACACAAAGCCGAUCAGGACAUGCCCCCCACUUUACUCCGCUCUUCCCCCUCACUAUGGCUCCCUUAAAGUAUCCCUUAGAACAGGCAUGCAAUUGUUAACACAUUUAAUACCCAUUUGUUUACAUAUUUACUACAAACAUGUUCCUACCUAAACUGACAUGUAAAAGAAGGGAUCCUUGGAACUGGGGUACUCUUCUUUUUGCUGGACCACUGGUCAGGAACUACCAUGCUUACUGUUUCAGCAAUAGUGAGGUUAUGGCUGCAAUAUCAGUGGUACACUGCUCUACGGUGUCCUCGACAUCGCCCACACGGAGGAGUGUAAAUGGCAGAGACUAUGCUGCUGAGGCCUCACAGCUGCGAGCAGAUUUUUGAAAUCAACCCAUGGUAAGGAGGAGUGCAGUGAAGCAAGGGAUCCUGAGUAAUUGUUGGUUCAUGACCUCAGCAUACAGAGACCCUCCACUUGAAGACCUAACUUCCUGCAAUCACCCGACACUAAAUGUCUUACAUUGAAAUAAAAGAUAAAACAACUCUGUACA